GCUAUCUUCAUCAUCCCUUCCAUCAGGCUCACUCUGGAUAAGGCAUUCUAUUUUGUUGAUUCUGCUAAAAUAAAUACCUUAUCUGGAGGAGGCUGUUGGGAAAGAACUUCCCUGCCAUAC
rnacentral:precursor_RNA from 15 species